rnacentral:rRNA from 1 species
UACGGAGGGUGCGAGCGUUGUCCGGAAUCACUGGGCGUAAAGGGCGCGUAGGCGGCCUGGCAAGUCGGUGGUGAAAGCCCGUGGCUCAACUACGGGUCGGCCACCGAUACUGCUAUGGCUCGAGUUUGGUAGAGGCAGAUGGAAUUCCGGGUGUAGCGGUGGAAUGCGUAGAGAUCCGGAAGAACACCGGUGGCGAAGGCGGGUCUCUGGGCCAUUACUGACGCUGAGGAGCGAAAGCGUGGGGAGCGAACAGG